rnacentral:rRNA from 1 species
CAUGCCCUAAACGAUGAUUACUCGAUGUGUGCGAUACACAGUACGCGUCUAAGCGAAAGCAUUAAGUAAUCCACCUGGGAAGUACGACCGCAAGGUUGAAACUCAAAGGAAUUGACGGGGGCCCGCACAAGCGGAGGAGCAUGUGGUUUAAUUCGAUGAUACGCGAGGAACCUUACCCGGGCUUGAAAGUUAUGGAAUGAUGUGGAAACAUGUCAGUCAGCAAUGACCAGAAACUAGGUGC